UUUCCGUAGGUGAACCUGCGGAAGGAUCAUUACAGAGUUCAUGCCCUCACGGGUAGAUCUCCCACCCUUGAAUAUUUAUACCUUAGUUGCUUUGGCAGGCCGUGGAAACACCAUGGGCUCCGGCUUAUGCGUGCCUGCCAGAGGAAACAAACUCUAUUUUUAGUGAUGUCUGAGUACUAUAUAAUAGUUAAAACUUUCAACAACGGAUCUCUUGGUUCUG
rnacentral:misc_RNA from 1 species